UUCGCAAUGCCCGAAAGGGUGACGAAGCGACGCCGCGCGCGGGAAGAAGGCCUUCGGGUUGUAAACCGCUGUCGGGAGUUAAGAAAUGCAAGGAUGUUAAUAGCGUUCUUGCUUGACUAAGGCUCCGGAGGAAGCCACGGCUAACUCUGUGCCAGCAGCCGCGGUAAUACAGAGGCGGCAAGCGUUGUUCGGAAUUAUUGGGCGUAAAGAGCACGUAGGCGGCUGUGUUAGUCGGUUGUGAAAGCCUUCCGCUCAACGGAAGAACGGCAUCCGAUACUGCAUGGCUUGAGUGUGGGAGGGGAGAGUGGAACUUCUGGUGGAGCGGUGAAAUGCGUAGAUAUCAGAAGGAACACCGGCGGCGAAGGCGACUCUCUGGUCCAUAACUGACGCUGAGUGUGCGGAAGCUAGGGGAGCAAACGGGAUUAGAUACCCCGGUAGUCCUAGCCGUAAACGAUGGGCACUAAGUAGAGGGGUUUU
rnacentral:rRNA from 1 species